CAGCUCCCGUAAGAGCUCGGAUGAAAUCAAAAAGACGGUUGACCAUCGUAGAAAUAUGGAUGGAGUCGGGUUGCUGUAGAAAUUUAUCCUUGGGGAAGUUCGACCGUGGACGAAGUCUGGAAAAUUCAGAUUGGAAUCUAUCAUGGCUGGAAGAGAUCUAGAAGAGGUCCGGAGAACGGUCGAUCAUUGUAGAAGGUUGGUAGAUAGUGAAGCCCGGAGAGCAUUUGAAGUAGUUCGGUGGAUGACUGAAGAAGUUCGUCAUUGGAGAAGUCCGGAAGGGCAUUAUCAUAGCUCAGACAGUUGGGGAAGUUUAGAAAAGCAUCGCACCAGGUC
rnacentral:lncRNA from 1 species